GAGAUGUCCAAGUCCUGACAUUUUUCUUCCCUUCUCCAAACAAGUGGGUCCCCCCAGAAAGAAAGUGUCUUUGCCUCAUUGGCUCUCCAUGAUAUCAUCAACACUUGCUUUCCUUGCAGCGGCGUGGCAUGGUGGCCCAGGAGCACCGUCUCCACAGGAACUGCCUGGCUCCAGGGUCCCUUGUAGGGGAAGCUGUGGGAAGAGGUCAGGGUUGUGGAGAUGUGUUUGCAUCUGAGCUGAGGUGUCGGGACGAGGACACUCGGACAGUGUGCUGUGUGGCAGGAGGAGGCUUGGAAGAAGACGAAAGGACACACCAGAAAAGAGUCCCUUAGAGACGGAGCCACAGAGCAGCGCUGAGAGGAAGCCCACAGCUUUGACCCAAGGAGCGAACCACCUAUGGCUGCAGCUGUUCCUAGGAGAUCCUUAUUUGUGCACGGCGUUCGAGACCUUCAGGUGCUUUUGGCCUGCUCCUCUGAGGACUAAUCAUGGACAGGAGGGGAGGGUGUGCCACGAUGGAUAGGAUAGGUGGCUAAGGGUCAAUGGGCCUUUCCGUUCCAGAUG
rnacentral:lncRNA from 1 species